UCACAAAUUUUUCGUAAAAUAGUAUUAUUAAAUCCUCACAGCUACAGAUACUGGACAAGAAGAUAUAACAACACAACAACACUUUAAAAUACCACACUUGCACUUUUGCACAAUGUAAGAAACUGGAUCAGAUGUCUUGUCUCUGAUAUGAUCAAAUAUAAGGAUUCCUGCAGCCAAACCGUGUGAAGAGCUAGGUUGCGUUUGCAUAGUGGCAUGUUUGAACUUCGCAGGCGAGCUCUCUGAUCAUCACGAAUAUGAAAGAAACCGAAGCAGAGAUAACACUCAGCCUGGCAGCCAGGCUCUUCAUCUUGGUGCCGGGCGCAAAAAUGGACGCCAUGGCCAGCGCGUGCCCAGCGGCCAGAUUGAAGGGGAGAAGGAUUUGGAUUACAGGUUGCUUCCUUGGGGACAGGAUUACGGUUUCAAGGCAGACAACAAUUAGGCAGAGAGAAAGCAUGAUCUGGUUUUUUACCCCAGAUGCACGCUGGCAAUGUCCUCCGGUUGACAUUUUUCACUUUCCUUCUUCUUUUUCUCUUUCUCCUUCUCUACUUUCUUGAUUCAACAAAUAAGUAAGCAACACAACGGAUGAGAGGUGUUUAUGGGUAGGAUCUUGGAUGGAUGGUGCGUGAGUAUUGCAGCGGAGAUCUUAUUAUCUGAACACGGACACGACACGCGUAUAAGAUGGUGGUAAAAAUGAAGCGAGAUAUGCGAUGCAGAAAUAGUGAAGAGGAGAAAAUAGCAAGCUUCAAUUAUGGGUGCAAGACCCUUUUGAGGACCAUUUUCCCUUGACCUGUAUAUAAACAAGAAACAAGAGUAGAAUCAGGGUAUGGAGAGAUUGGCUACUACAAGUGCACAAGAGUAGUGCCAUACUAUGGAAAGACGGGAACUGACAAGCCACGAGGGGGAGAGGAAGCUGACCGAAAACACGGAGAAGCGAUAUGUUACGGUGAUCGGAGCAAGUAUCAGUGCUUUGUCUCAUGGCCACAAGAAUCAACCGAGAAAAUGAAGCAGCACUGGAUCAAACCAGCUAUUUUGACAACGGAAAGCUUGUUCUGCUUCAGUUUGGCAACGAGACUCGGGCUGCUGCUGCUGCUGUUUGUGCUGUAUUAGUAGUUGUAUUGGUGC
rnacentral:lncRNA from 1 species